GACGAACGCUGGCGGCGUGCCUAAUACAUGCAAGUCGAACGGUCUUUUCUAUGGAAGCUUGCUUCCGCUGAGAAGGUAGUGGCGAACGGGUGAGUAACACGUGGGUAACCUGCCCAUAAGAGGGGGAUAACAUCCGGAAACGGGUGCUAAUACCGCAUAGUUUUCUUGAUCGCAUGAUCGAGAAAGGAAAGACGGCCUUUGUGCUGUUGCUUAUGGAUGGACCCGCGGCGUAUUAGGUAGUUGGUGAGGUAACGGCUCACCAAGACGAUGAUACGUAGCCGACCUGAGAGGGUGAUCGGCCACAUUGGGACUGAGACACGGCCCAAACUCCUACGGGAGGCAGCAGUAGGGAAUCUUCCGCAAUGGACGAAAGUCUGACGGAGCAACGCCGCGUGAGUGAAGAAGGUUUUCGGAUCGUAAAGCUCUGUUGUCAGAGAAGAACAAGUCGGAGAGUAACUGCUCCGGCCUUGACGGUAUCUGACCAAAAAGCCACGGCUAACUACGUGCCAGCAGCCGCGGUAACAC
rnacentral:rRNA from 1 species